rnacentral:rRNA from 1 species
GACGAACGCUGGCGGCGUGCUUAACACAUGCAAGUCGAACGGUAAGGCCCCUUCGGGGGUACACGAGUGGCGAACGGGUGAGUAACACGUGGGUGUUCUGCGCUGCACUUCGGGAUAAGUCUGGGAAACUGGGUCUAAUACCGGGUCGGCCCUCUGCCUGCAUGGGAGGGGGUGGAAAGCUUUUGGGGGGUGGGAUGGGCCCGCGGCCUAUCAGCUUGUUGGUGGGGGGAUGGCCUACCAAGGCGUCGACGGGUAGCCUGCCUGUGAGGGUGUCCGGCCACACUGGGACUGAGAUACGGCCCAGACUCCUACGGGAGGCAGCAGUGGGGAAUAUUGCACAAUGGGCGCAAGCCUGAUGCAGCGACGCCGCGUGAGGGAUGACGGCCUUCGGGUUGUAAACCUCUUUCACCAGGGACGAAGCGCAAGUGACGGUACCUGGAGAAGAAGCACCGGCCAACUACGUGCCAGCAGCCGCAGUAA